GCACCGGUGGUGUACGGAACACGCAUCGACCUGAUGCCAGGUCCUGCGACUCAUGAAUGGUUCGAUGGUGAGACGGGGUUCGAUUCCCCGCCGGUGCG